rnacentral:rRNA from 1 species
UAGGGAAUCUUCCACAAUGGACGCAGGUCUGAUGGAGCAACGCCGCGUGAGUGAAGAAGGGUUUCGGCUCGUAAAACUCUGUUGUUAAAGAAGAACAUAUCUGAGAGUAACUGUUCAGGUAUUGACGGUAUUUAACCAGAAAGCCACGGCUAACUACGUACCAG